rnacentral:rRNA from 1 species
CACGAACCGUACGAACGUUAUUCGGAAUUACUGGGCUUAAAGGGUUUGUAGGCGGCCUUGUAAGUCAGGUGUGAAAUCCCUCGGCUCAACCGAGGAAUGGCGCUUGAUACUGCAAGGCUUGAGGGAGACAGGGGUAAGCGGAACUGAUGGUGGAGCGGUGAAAUGCGUUGAUAUCAUCAGGAACACCGGUGGCGAAAGCGGCUUACUGGGUCUCUUCUGACGCUGAGGAACGAAAGCUAGGGUAGCGAACAGG